CCUACGGGAGGCAGCAGUAGGGAAUCUUUCACAAUGGGCGAAAGCCUGAUGGAGCAACGCCGCGUGCAGGAUGAAGGCCUUCGGGUUGUAAACUGCUUUUAUAAGCGAGAAAUAUGAUGUUAACUUAUGAAUAAGGAUCGGCUAACUACGUGCCAGCAGCCGCGGUCAUACGUAGGAUCCGAGCAUUAUCCGGAGUGACUGGGUGUAAAGAGUUGCGUAGGUGGCAUAAUAAGUAGCUAGUGAAAUCUGGUGGCUCAACCAUUCAGACUAUUAGCUAAACUGUUAAGCUCGAGACCGUUAGGGGUAACUGGAAUUUCUAGUGUAGGAGUGAAAUCCGUAGAUAUUAGAAGGAACACCAAUAGCGUAGGCAGGUUGCUGGGACGGUUCUGACACUAAGGCACGAAAGCGUAGGGAGCAAACGGGAUUAGAUACCCCUGUAGUC
rnacentral:rRNA from 1 species